UAAUUUAUAAUAAAAGAGAUGUAAUAUGAUAUCUCUGUGACACUCAUACAAUUGUGUGUUUAAAUUUGUGUAUUCAUAAGUAGGGAUAACAAAACGGGUCCGAUCCGUUAGACAUGUCCGUUUUAAAGUGCGGGACGGACCAAGAGUUUAAGUCCGCACUCUCAAAUGUGCCCGUUCCGCCCCGCUUUUCUCACAGACACGUAAUUACAUGAAUCUUUGUAUUUUUAGACCUAAAAGGUGCAAUGCCCACGGGCCCGCCCCUCACAUUUAGUGCAGGACGGGCAAAGAUUUUAGGCCGCAUCCUCAAGUAUGCCCGCCCCACCCCAUCCCAUUUUUUUUGUGGGCUUUUGCGAGACGGAUCUAAAUUGGGCAGGCAUACCCGUUUACUGAGUAAAUUCCAUCAGAAUUAUGCAGCCACACAAACCGGUCCUCACGACACUGCUCCAGCCGAACAUCAAGCAGAAUACAGUACAAUUCUUCCAGCUGCAUUCUAGCUUCAAUCUGCAUAAUUUCUGGUCUGCAGUGGAUGUGCCAACUGUUAUUCGAUGAGGAUGAGGAAAACAUAUCCUGCACUAAACCAGUUUUCAAAACAGACAGAUUAGAAACAGAUGGGAACGGGCUCCUCUAAAGUUCUUGAGCCAAUCCAUCGAUGUUUCCAAAUCAGAAUGGAGUUACCUGCACCAAUUUUACAAGCAAUUCCAUCAUGAAACCAAUCAGUCCCUACUGCCACAUUACUCCCGAGAGCUAUGAGGUCCCUCCACCAAAGGGAAUCUGUAUUUCUUUCAUGAGAAAGGUCAUCCCCAUCAUUAACUUGAAAGAGAGUUGCAAUGUUUGAGUUAUGCUAUCUAAAACAUACACAGUAAAGUCAAACUUACCUGAAGCGUGUCCUUAAUAAGUUCGGACAGAAUUUGACCAGACCCAUCAGAGCUGAGAUCAACAAAUGAUACCGGCAUCAUUUUUGCAAUGCAUUCUUCCCGCACAAGGUC
rnacentral:lncRNA from 1 species